rnacentral:tRNA from 1 species
GGAUUGGUGGUCUAAUGGCUACCGCUUCUGCAUCAAAACCAGAAGGUCAUGGGUUCAAUCCCUAUCCCGUCCC